rnacentral:rRNA from 1 species
AGAGUUUGAUCCUGGCUCAGGAUGAACGCUGGCGGCGUGCCUAAUACAUGCAAGUCGAACGGAGACAUUAGCAAUAAUGUCUUAGUGGCGAACGGGUGAGUAACGCGUUGGUGACCUGCCCCGAAGAGGGGGAUAACAGUCCGAAAGGAUUGCUAAUACCCCAUGUGGUCGUUUGGAUUAGAUGCCUUAUGACUAAACGGAUUUAUUCGCUUCGGGAGGGGCCUGCGUCCCAUCAGCUAGUUGGUAGGGUAAUAGCCUACCAAGGCGAUGACGGGUAGGGGACCUGAGAGGGUGGCCCCCCACAAUGGAACUGAAACACGGUCCAUACACCUACGGGUGGCAGCAGUAGGGAAUAUUGGUAAUCUGGGAAACCGGGAACCAGCAACGCCGCGUGCGCGAUGAAGGCCUUCGGGUUGUAAAGCGCUUUUUGAAGGGAUGAGGAAGGACAGUACCUUCAGAAUAAGCCUCGGCUAACUACGUGCCAGCAGCCGCGGUAAAACGUAGGAGGCGAGCGUUAUCCGGAUUUACUGGGCGUAAAGCGUGUGUAGGCGGUUUGAUAAGUUGGAUGUGAAAGCUCCUGGCUCAACUGGGAGAGGUCGUUCAAAACUAUCAGACUCGAGAGUGGUAGAGGGAGGUGGAAUUCCGCGUGUAGUGGUGAAAUGCGUAGAUAUGCGGAGGAACACCAGUGGCGAAAGCGGCCUCCUGGCCCAUUUCUGACGCUCAGACACGAAAGCUAAGGUAGCAAACGGGAUUAGAGACCCCGGUAGUCUUAGCUGUAAACGAUGUGAACUUAGUGUCGGUGGGGUUAAAUCCAUCGGUACUGAAGCAAACGCGAUAAGUUCACCGCCUGAG